AGUUGAGAACUCUUGAUAUGUAUUAUCGCGCCGGCGCAACGUAGUAGGAGAGGUUGGAAUACUCACGGACAUUCAGAUCAGUCGUCAAAUUGCUCACUCACGAGUUGGGUGUAUAUCUUGUUUGCUUGUUGAUUAAUUGUUAAUCGUUAUUUCCAAUCAAAAUGUCAGCUGAAAAGUACGAUAGAGCAACUCCAGAACUUAAAGCUGAGUUGAAAAGUAUUGCUGAAAAAAUUGUUGCUCCAGGAAAAGGUAUUUUAGCUGCUGAUGAAUCUACAACAACAAUUGGAAAACGUCUUCAAGACAUCAACGUAGAAAAUAAUGAAGAUAAUCGUCGUGCAUACAGACAGCUCCUUUUCACGUCAGCUAAGGAUGUAAUUGGUAACCACAUCUCUGGUGUUAUUCUUUUCCACGAAACUUUAUAUCAAAAAGCAGAUGAUGGAACACCCUUCGUGAAGCUUAUGGAAGAACGUGGAAUUAUUCCCGGAAUUAAAGUAGAUAAAGGUGUUGUCCCAUUGUUCGGAACUGAUGAUGAAUGCACCACUCAAGGAUUAGAUGAUCUUCAGGCUCGCUGUAUUCAAUAUAAGAAAGACGGCUGUCACUUCGCUAAAUGGCGAUGUGUUUUAAAAAUAAAAGGAAACACAUGCCCAAGCAAGCUUGCAAUUUUGGAAAAUGCUAAUGUUUUAGCUCGUUACGCUUCAAUCUGUCAAAGUGCUAGAAUUGUUCCAAUUGUUGAACCUGAAAUUCUUCCUGAUGGUGACCAUGAUCUUGCUCGGUGCCAACAAGUUACCGAAGAGGUUCUUGCUGCUGUAUACAAAGCUCUAAAUGAUCAUCAUGUUUACUUAGAAGGAACAUUAUUAAAACCGAACAUGGUAACACCAGGACAAAGUUGUCCAAAACGCGCAACACCCCAAGAAAUUGCAUCAGCAACUGUUAUUGCUCUCCAACGUACUGUUCCUCCAGCAGUUCCCGGAAUUACAUUCCUUAGUGGUGGACAGUCUGAAGAAGAAGCAUCUGUCAAUCUUGACGCAAUCAAUAAAUAUCCUGGUAAAAAACCAUGGGCACUCACUUUCAGUUACGGACGUGCUCUCCAAGCAUCUGUGCUCCGUGCUUGGGGUGGUAAGAAAGAGCAAGUCAAUGCUGGACAAGAUGAACUUAUCAAAAGAGCUAAGGCCAAUUCUUUAGCUUGUCAAGGCAAAUACACAGCUGGCAGUAUUGUCAGCAAAGCUGCCAAUCUUACUCUCCAUGUGAAAUCUCAUACUUAUUAACCUACUUGUUUGUUUUAUUCACAUUUUUAUGUUCUAUUUUUCUUUUACUUCUAUUUUAUGUUUUGCUAACAGCGAAGCUGCUCUGGGAAAAUAUGCUGGUGGUGUAAGUGGAGCCGCUGGAGAUGCUAAAUUAUUUGUCGCAAAUCACGCAUAUUAAAUUAUUAAAAGAGGACAAUUAUGCAUUCGUUUCAAAGGAUUCAAAAUUAUAAUCAAUAUAACUAUUUAUAAAUAAAUGACAAAUAUUGCCAGGACAGUAUGAAAGGAUAAUGCAAAAUUGUAUCUUUUAUUUUAUUUGCGUUUUGUACUAUUUAUUUAAGAUAAUAACGUCGAAGCUGGACACUCACAAAAGUUUUAUUAGUUAUUUUUGUGUAUGUUAUUUUAUCUAAUAAUGAACAACACAAGAAUAAAAGUUUUAGCUAUUAA